UCCGAGUUGACCCCGGCAGUCUCCUGUGAGUCCCCAUCACCCCGAAGGGCUGCCGUAUUUCUACGACAUUCCUGUGCAUGUCAAGCCUCGGUAAGGUUCUUCGCGUUGCGUCGAAUUGAACCACAUGCUCCGCUGCUUGUGCGGGCCCCCGUCAAUUCCUUUGAGUUUUAGCCUUGCGGCCGUACUCCCCAGGCGGGGUGCUUAAUGCGUUAGCUUCGGCACGGACGGAGUCGACACCGCCCACACCUAGCACCCAUCGUUUACAGCGUGGACUAC
rnacentral:misc_RNA from 1 species